AGAGGAUAAAGCCCUUGCUCUGUCUGACUGCUGAUUGGCUGAGACAGGUCCCACCUCCUGCUAUCCUGAAUGUGGGGGUGCAGAGAGAAGGGUCUUUGAUAAUAAGGAGAGGUACCAGGGUGCCAAGCCAGCCCGAGACUGCUGCCUCUUAGUCCGCUCAGGGGCUUCCAGACCAGACAAGCUCCAUCUCCCGUGGGAGUAGUGGCCCGUCGUUCUCUGCCUCUAGCUCCCACAGUGGCCACAGAUGGCAGUGUCUCUGGGGACAGCAGCUGCAAUUGAGUUCACUGGCCAACACUGAGCGGCUCAGGCUGAGGCAUCUGGCUCUGUGCAAAGACUGCAGAACAGGCAUCUACGGGUAUGAGCCAAAGCUGGCGCGAUGCCGCACUUUCUGGACUGGUUUGUGCCUGUCUACCUGGUCAUCUCCGUCCUCAUCCUGGUGGGCUUUGGAGCCUGCAUCUACUACUUCGAGCCUGGCCUGCAGGAGGCGCACAAGUGGCGCAUGCAGCGCCCCCUGGUGGACCGUGAUCUCCGCAAGACGCUGAUGAUGCGGGACAACCUGGCUUUCGGAGGCCCCGAAGUCUAAGACUGCCUGGGUACUUGAGACCCUCCAAGCUGACAGAGGACUGCUCCUUUGAUCUUUCCAUACAUCCAUCUGCAGCCCAGUAGAGGUCCAUGCUGUUCAGGGAAGCCCCUUUCUGUAGAAACCAGGCACUUGAAUCUUGCUGCUGUGAGAUCAAAAUCUCAAGAGUCAAGCCCGUUCACACCAUGCCUUCCCUUCCUAGCUCUGGGGACAUCUUUCACUAGCCCUCAGUACCUUUGUGCUGUCUUCCCUCUAACACUUUACCUGGAGUCAGGUAUGACCGCUCCACUGAACUCUCAGUUGCUUUCUGCUCCCAUCUCUGCCUUGCAGCUGAGCUGGACAGUCCUCAAAGCUGACCCAGGAAAAGAAUCUAAUUCAGAAGGAUCCCGGCUUGGUAUAGAUCAGCCCCACCCAACUCUGAGGGCUCAGGCUUAGAAUGAGUGAUACUGUAUGGUGGGGGUGUGCAGAAGGGCAAGACUUUGGGAAGGGUGUGCCUGUAUGUGUGCUUGAGUGAGAGAGAGGGGGGUGAAGGGAGGGAGGGAGGGAGAGAGAGAGAGAGAGAGAGAGAGGAGGAGGAGGAGAAGGAGGAGGAGGAGAAAGAGGAGGAGGAGGAGGAGGAGGAGGAAGAGGAGGAGGAGGAGGAGGAAGAGGAGGAAGAGGAAGGAGGAGGAGGAGGGGAGAGAUUGGGGCCUCAGGCAGAGCAGGCAGUGGUGGGGACAAAGUGGGCUCAGUGGGGCAGUGGGAGGACUGUCCACCGCAGGUCCCACCCUUUCCCCUAGGCUGCCCACGCUCCCUCCCUGUCCUAGGCUGCACUUCCAGGGUUGAGUUUAGCCCUGCCCACCCCGGAAGCUCCUGUGUAGAGGUUUCAUGACUUGACUUUGCAGACAACCUGGCAGCUGCCCUCCCUCUCUCCUGCUGAGGCUUCAUUUAUGCAACACUAAUAAAGGUUCCAUGGCCACCUUUGCAG